UACAGAGGGGGCAAGCGUUGUUCGGAAUUACUGGGCGUAAAGGGCGCGUAGGCGGCCUUCUAAGUCGAACGUGAAAUCCCUCGGCUUAACCGGGGAACUGCGUCUGAUACUGGAUGGCUUGAGUUUGGGAGAGGGAUGCGGAAUUCCAGGUGUAGCGGUGAAAUGCGUAGAUAUCUGGAGGAACACCGGUGGCGAAGGCGGCAUCCUGGACCAACACUGACGCUGAGGAGCGAAAGCCAGGGGAGCAAACGGG
rnacentral:rRNA from 2 species